rnacentral:rRNA from 1 species
UGGGGAAUAUUGGACAAUGGGCGAAAGCCUGAUCCAGCCAUGCCGCGUGUGUGAAGAAGGUCUUCGGAUUGUAAAGCACUUUAAGUUGGGAGGAAGGGCAGUAAAUUAAUACUUUGCUGUUUUGACGUUACCGACAGAAUAAGCACCGGCUAACUCUGUGCCAGCAGCCGCGGUAAUACAGAGGGUGCAAGCGUUAAUCGGAAUUACUGGGCGUAAAGCGCGCGUAGGUGGUUCGUUAAGUUGGAUGUGAAAUCCCCGGGCUCAACCUGGGAACUGCAUUCAAAACUGACGAGCUAGAGGAGGGUAGAGGGUGGUGGAAUUUCCUGUGUAGCGGUGAAAUGCGUAGAUAUAGGAAGGAACACCAGUGGCGAAGGCGACCACCUGGACUGAUACUGACACUGAGGUGCGAAAGCGUGGGGAGCAAACA